UGGGGAAUUUUGGACAAUGGGCGAAAGCCUGAUCCAGCAAUGCCGCGUGUGUGAAGAAGGCCUUCGGGUUGUAAAGCACUUUUGUCCGGAAAGAAAUCCUUGGCUCUAAUACAGUCGGGGGAUGACGGUACCGGAAGAAUAAGCACCGGCUAACUACGUGCCAGCAGCCGCGGUAAUACGUAGGGUGCAAGCGUUAAUCGGAAUUACUGGGCGUAAAGCGUGCGCAGGCGGUUUGCUAAGACCGAUGUGAAAUCCCCGGGCUCAACCUGGGAACUGCAUUGGUGACUGGCAGGCUAGAGUAUGGCAGAGGGGGGUAGAAUUCCACGUGUAGCAGUGAAAUGCGUAGAGAUGUGGAGGAAUACCGAUGGCGAAGGCAGCCCCCUGGGCCAAUACUGACGCUCAUGCACGAAAGCGUGGGGAGCAAACAGGAUUAGAUACCCUGGUAGUCCACGCCCUAAACGAUGUCAACUAGUUGCUGGGGAUUCAUUCCUUAGUAACGUAGCUAACGCGUGAAGUUGACCGCCUGGGGAGUACGGUCGCAAGAUUAAAACUCAAAUGAA
rnacentral:rRNA from 1 species